rnacentral:rRNA from 1 species
UGGGGAAUAUUGGGCAAUGGGCGAAAGCCUGACCCAGCGACGCCGCGUGAAGGAUGAAGGUCUUCGGAUUGUAAACUUCUUUGAUCAGGGAAGAAAGAAAUGACGGUACCUGAAAAACAAGCCACGGCUAACUACGUGCCAGCAGCCGCGGUAAUACGUAGGUGGCAAGCGUUGUCCGGAUUUACUGGGUGUAAAGGGCGUGUAGGCGGGGAUGCAAGUCAGAUGUGAAAUCCCGCGGCUCAACCGCGGAACUGCAUCUGAAACUGCGUCCCUUGAGUGUCGGAAGGGAAAGUGGAAUUCCUAGUGUAGCGGUGAAAUGCGUAGAUAUUAGGAGGAACACCGGUGGCGAAGGCGACUUUCUGGACGAUAACUGACGCUGAGACGCGAAAGCGUGGGGAGCAA